rnacentral:rRNA from 1 species
GAAAGUGGUAAUGCCGGAUGCUCCAGUUGAUCGCAUGGUCUUCUGGGAAAGCUUUCGCGGUAUGGGAUGGGGUCGCGUCCUAUCAGCUUGACGGCGGGGUAACGGCCCACCGUGGCUUCGACGGGUAGCCGGCCUGAGAGGGCGACCGGCCACAUUGGGACUGAGAUACGGCCCAGACUCCUACGGGAGGCAGCAGUGGGGAAUAUUGCACAAUGGGCGCAAGCCUGAUGCAGCGACGCCGCGUGAGGGAUGGAGGCCUUCGGGUUGUAAACCUCUUUUAUCGGGGAGCAAGCGAGAGUGAGUUUACCCGUUGAAUAAGCACCGGCUAACUACGUGCCAGCAGCCGCGGUAAUACGUAGGGUGCAAGCGUUAUCCGGAAUUAUUGGGCGUAAAGGGCUCGUAGGCGGUUCGUCGCGUCCGGUGUGAAAGUCCAUCGCUUAACGGUGGAUCCGCGCCGGGUACGGGCGGGCUUGAGUGCGGUAGGGGAGA